rnacentral:rRNA from 1 species
AGAGUUUGAUCCUGGCUCAGGAUGAACGCCGGCGGUGUGCCUAAUACAUGCAAGUCGUACGCACUGGCCCAACUGAUUGAUGGUGCUUGCACCUGAUUGACGUUGGAUCACCAGUGAGUGACGGACGGGUGAGUAACACGUAGGUAACCUGCCCCGGAGCGGGGGAUAACAUUUGGAAACAGAUGCUAAUACCGCAUAACAACAAAAGCCACAUGGCUUUUGUUUGAAAGAUGGCUUUGGCUAUCACUCUGGGAUGGACCUGCGGUGCAUUAGCUAGUUGGUAAGGUAACGGCUUACCAAGGCGAUGAUGCAUAGCCGAGUUGAGAGACUGAUCGGCCACAAUGGAACUGAGACACGGUCCAUACUCCUACGGGAGGCAGCAGUAGGGAAUCUUCCACAAUGGGCGCAAGCCUGAUGGAGCAACACCGCGUGAGUGAAGAAGGGUUUCGGCUCGUAAAGCUCUGUUGUUGGAGAAGAACGUGCGUGAGAGUAACUGUUCACGCAGUGACGGUAUCCAACCAGAAAGUCACGGCUAACUACGUGCCAGCAGCCGCGGUAAUACGUAGGUGGCAAGCGUUAUCCGGAUUUAUUGGGCGUAAAGCGAGCGCAGGCGGUUGCUUAGGUCUGAUGUGAAAGCCUUCGGCUUAACCGAAGAAGUGCAUCGGAAACCGGGCGACUUGAGUGCAGAAGAGGACAGUGGAACUCCAUGUGUAGCGGUGGAAUGCGUAGAUAUAUGGAAGAACACCAGUGGCGAAGGCGGCUGUCUGGUCUGCAACUGACGCUGAGGCUCGAAAGCAUGGGUAGCGAACAGGAUUAGAUACCCUGGUAGUCCAUGCCGUAAACGAUGAGUGCUAGGUGUUGGAGGGUUUCCGCCCUUCAGUGCCGGAGCUAACGCAUUAAGCACUCCGCCUGGGGAGUACGACCGCAAGGUUGAAACUCAAAGGAAUUGACGGGGGCCCGCACAAGCGGUGGAGCAUGUGGUUUAAUUCGAAGCUACGCGAAGAACCUUACCAGGUCUUGACAUCUUGCGCUAACCUUAGAGAUAAGGCGUUCCCUUCGGGGACGCAAUGACAGGUGGUGCAUGGUCGUCGUCAGCUCGUGUCGUGAGAUGUUGGGUUAAGUCCCGCAACGAGCGCAACCCUUGUUACUAGUUGCCAGCAUUAAGUUGGGCACUCUAGUGAGACUGCCGGUGACAAACCGGAGGAAGGUGGGGACGACGUCAGAUCAUCAUGCCCCUUAUGACCUGGGCUACACACGUGCUACAAUGGACGGUACAACGAGUCGCAAGCUCGCGAGAGUAAGCUAAUCUCUUAAAGCCGUUCUCAGUUCGGACUGUAGGCUGCAACUCGCCUACACGAAGUCGGAAUCGCUAGUAAUCGCGGAUCAGCAUGCCGCGGUGAAUACGUUCCCGGGCCUUGUACACACCGCCCGUCA